rnacentral:rRNA from 1 species
GAAUAUUGGACAAUGGGGGGAACCCUGAUCCAGCCAUGCCGCGUGUGUGAAGAAGGCCUUUUGGUUGUAAAGCAACUUAAGCGAGGAGGAGGCUAAUCUAGUUCAUAACUAGAGAUAGUGGGCGGUACUCGCAGAAUCAGCCCCGGCUAACCCCGUGCCAGACCCCUCGGUAAAACAGAGGGUGCAAGCGUUAAUCGGAUUUACUGGGUGUAAAGCGCGCGUAGGUGGCCAAUUAAGUCAAAUGUGAAAUCCCCGAGCUUAACUUGGGAAUUGCAUUCGAUACUGGUUGGCUAGAGUAUGGGAGAGGAUGGUAGAAUUCCAGGUGUAGCGGUGAAAUGCGUAGAGAUCUGGAGGAAUACCGAUGGCGAAGGCAGCCAUCUGGCCUAAUACUGACACUGAGGUGCGAAAGCAUGGGGAGCAAAC